CCGUGUUUCGAGUUACUCCGGAACACAGUGUUUAUUCUGUGUUUAGUCACGCCGCGUCAAAAAUGUUCCACAGGGUUACUUCCGGUUUAUCGUUGUUUACCAACAGUCGACACUUCGUGUAUUAGGCCUAGGCUUAAUUUUGUCGAUCAUCAUGAAAUUGAAAUACAAAUUUAAUAGUUUGGGGUGUAUGCGGUACAUAUUUGUUUAUGAGCGUUUGAUAAGCUACUAUUGAUCUACGAAAUACAACGAAAGACUUCGUCAAGAACAGAAGAAGACGAUGCAUGUCGUGUAACUCACACAAGGCCCAGCUGUCUAGUAACCGGAGGGGUAAAGGAAAAGAACGUAUUAGACUCACUGAAACCUGUCAAACAGGUAUAUGGGAACAGGAUCAUUUUCCAUGCCUUUCACUUGAGGUCUUCAGUUUCAUCAUUAAUCAUCUGAAUGUCGGUAUGCCAAACUCUCAUGAUGUCAUGCCAUUACUGGAUAUUCCUUAACAGUGGUUUAUUUAUGCCACACUACCUAUAACAUUGCCAAAAUAUUUGACUGAAAAUUUUCAAAUACACAAGAUUUGAAGCAGCAAAAGAAAAGAAUUACAUAUGUAUAACACACAAAAAAGAAGAAAUUAAUUCUCACCUGGCUGAUAUGAACUUUUUACUCCUUUUUAGCUCCCUUUCACUGCAUACCAGCCAAUAACUAGCAGUCAUUAUAUGCAGAUCAGCCAUUGUUAUCAACCUGUGUAUAUAUAUGUUGAAUGAAAUAUGAAUGAAAA